ACCAUCUGCGGGGUCCUGCACAGGGACAUCAAAGCAGAGACCAUCCUGCUCAACCUGGCCACUGGGCAGCUGAAACUGAUCGACUGUGGCUGUAGCACCUUCCUCCAAGAAAGCCUACACCCCGUUUGUAGGAACCCUGUCCUACAGCCCGCCAGACUAGUUCCACCACCAACGCUACCACAGUGAGGCAGCAAAGAUCUGGUCCCUGGGCCUCCUGCUGUCCCACCUGGUCAUGGGGAAGCACCUGUUCAGGAGGGACCAGGAGAUCAUCUGGGGAUGGAUCUUGUUCCCACGAGGGCUUUCUCAAGAGUGCCAAGAUGUUAUUAAGAGGUGUUUGUCCAUUCAACCCUUGGACAGGCCAUCCUUAGAAAACCUUUUCUGGGAUCCUUGGCUGCAGGGUGUUCAUCUGCCCUAGAAGAUGGGAGAGAUCCUCGUGCACAUUUGGAUCCAGGGGCCUGGCAUGUAUAUGCUGCACACAUCUCUUGGCAAUCACUGGAAAAGCAAACCAGACUGGUUUUGUCUUGCCUGUUACUCUGAGCAGUGAUCAUCAGAAGGGAACACACAGUUCAUGGGCUGGAGCUGAG